CCCUGACAAUGAGAUUUCUACAGUAAUCGGGCUCCUUCCAUGUUUCUACAGUGGUCGACUGCCUUCAGGAUUUUAGUUGAGCUCCUGCGAUAACCGAACUUCUACCGUGAGUGGCCUGCUCCGAACUUCCAUCACGAGUGGUCUAUCCCGAACUCCUGCUGCGAGCAGUCUACUCCGAACCCUUACAGCAGACGACCUACCUCGGAUCCCAACUGUAAGCAAAUCCCAUCCGAGCCUCUGCUAUAAACAUAUUCCUCCCG
rnacentral:lncRNA from 1 species